GGACACCAUGCUAUCGACAUUAAAUCACGCAUGCUUGUUUUGCCGGAUCUCACCAACCUUCCGUCGGUCAACAGUUUCUUUGGGUGGCCAUGGGGUUGCUCUCCCUUUUCCUUUUCCUUUGCGCCUCCUCCGGCUUGUUGCUCGACGCUCCCCGCGCCCUCUUCCUACGCCUUCACAAGGGCACGGACUCGGCCGGGGGAUCCACACGUUUCCGGGAGAACACCCAAGGCAAAGGUGGUGGAGGGCAGGGGGUGCACAGCGGAGCAAGACGGGAGUUGGAUUCAGGUUCCGAUGGCAUCAUCAACAACAGCAGCGCUGGUUGGAAGAUUGUGAGGCAGGGGUUCACCUUUCCAGCAGGCGCUGCCCCUUUCAACAGCUGCCAUGCUUCCACAAUAGUAGAGGUGGAGAGGGGCAAUUUCUUGGUCGCCUACUUCGGGGGAUCCCGCGAAGGGGCGCCCGACGUCAAGAUCUGGUUGCAGAGAUACAACGACGGUUGCUGGCAGCCGCCAGUGAUGGCCGACGAACAGCACGAAGUGCCCAUGUGGAACCCUGUUCUGUUUCAGCUGCCCUCUCGUGAGCUACUGCUAUUCUACAAGAUUGGCCAAGAGGUCCAAAAGUGAGUGCAGCAGCACCUGUUUUGAUGUGAGAUCGCCACCUCGUUCAUGCCCUUCUUCCCUGGAGGAAGAACACCAAACACCCUCUGCUUUCAUUGUUUUUCAUGUCUCAUCAGAUGGAGCGGUUGCAUGAAGCGAUCGGUUGAUGGUGGCAUAACGUGGUCGGACAGAGAACAGCUCCCACCUGGAAUCCUCGGUCCAACCAAGAACAAGUGCAGCCCAUAUUGCUGCAUGACGGUCGGCUGCUAUGUGGAUCAUCUGUGGAGAGCUGGAAUUCCUGGGGAGCAUGGUUGGAGGUCACCACAGACUGCGGCCGAUCAUGGAGGAAGCACGGGCCUAUUUACAUCGAAGGCGAAACACUCGGCGUGAUUCAGCCGGUGCCAUACCUGACCGCUAGGGGUUCCGUCCGCAUGCUGCUGAGAUCAUUCGAGAACAUCGGCUACGUUUUCAUGGCGCAAUCCGAAGACGGUGGCAUAACUUGGAGCUUCGCUCGGCCAACGGAGCUGCCCAACCCAAACUCCGGCAUCGACGGAGUUAAGCUGAGAGACGGGCGACUCCUUCUCGUCUACAACACUGUUUCAAGAGGUGUCCUCAAGGUCGCCUCCUCCGUGGAUGAUGGUGAUUCCUGGGUUGAGAUCAUGACACUGGAGGAAGACUUGGACAUGGAGUUCUCCUAUCCAGCAGUCGUCCAGGCAUCAGACGAGCUCAUACAUGUCACCUACACCUACAACAGGACACAGAUUAAGCACAUUGUUCUCCAACCAAGUGAUGUUGGGGAGUUGUGAAUGGUGAACUUGCUUGUGCUCCACCAUCUUGCACUGCAAGUUACAGAUUUUGCAUGGAUUCAUCAGUAAUUAAUUGUUCAAUGUGUAAAGAGAUAUCCUUCCAACUCAGACCAACCAUUUU